rnacentral:snRNA from 1 species
UGUCCUCCAUAGGAGGUCUAUAUUGAGCAGAUUCUUUCUGGUGUUGGGUGGUGGAACCGGAGCGUGCUCCAUCCACUCCAUGCAUUGACCUGGUAUUGCAGUGCUUCCAGGACCGGUGC